rnacentral:rRNA from 1 species
AUUGAACGCUGGCGGCAGGCCUAACACAUGCAAGUCGAGCGGAUGACGGGAGCUUGCUCCUUGAUUCAGCGGCGGACGGGUGAGUAAUGCCUAGGAAUCUGCCUGGUAGUGGGGGACAACGUUCCGAAAGGAACGCUAAUACCGCAUACGUCCUACGGGAGAAAGCAGGGGACCUUCGGGCCUUGCGCUAUCAGAUGAGCCUAGGUCGGAUUAGCUAGUAGGUGAGGUAAUGGCUCACCUAGGCGACGAUCCGUAACUGGUCUGAGAGGAUGAUCAGUCACACUGGAACUGAGACACGGUCCAGACUCCUACGGGAGGCAGCAGUGGGGAAUAUUGGACAAUGGGCGAAAGCCUGAUCCAGCCAUGCCGCGUGUGUGAAGAAGGUCCUCGGAUUGUAAAGCACUUUAAGUUGGGAGGAAGGGCAGUAAGUUAAUACCUUGCUGUUUUGACGUUACCGACAGAAUAAGCACCGGCUAACUCUGUGCCAGCCGCCGCGGUAA